rnacentral:rRNA from 1 species
UACAGGGGGUGCAAACGUUGCUCGGAAUCAUUGGGCGUAAAGGCGCACGUAGGCGGUCUGUUAUGUCGGAUGUGAAAGCCCUUGGCUUAACUGAGGAAGUGCAUCCGAAACUGGCAGGCUAGAGUACUAAAGAGGGUCGCGGAAUUCCCGGUGUAGAGGUGAAAUUCGUAGAUAUCGGGAGGAACACCGGUGGCGAAGGCGGCGACCUGGGUAGAUACUGACGCUGAGGUGCGAAAGCGUGGGGAGCAAACAGGG